CCGCGGUAAGUCGUAGGGGGCGAGCGUUGUCCGGAAUUACUGGGCGUAAAGAGCACGUAGGCGGGAACUUAAGUCAGGUGUGAAAGACCGGGGCUCAACCUCGGGGGUGCACUUGAAACUGGGUUUCUUGAGGGCAGGAGAGGAAAGUAGAAUUCCUGGUGUAGCGGUGAAAUGCGUAGAAAUCAGGAGGAAUACCAGUGGCGAAGGCGACUUUCUGGACUGACCCUGACGCUGAGGUGCGAAAGCGUGGGUAGCAAACAG
rnacentral:rRNA from 1 species